UGCCUCAGUAACGGCGAGUGAAGCGGCAACAGCUCAAAUUUGAAAGCUGGCCCCCCCGGGGGUCCGCGUUGUAAUUUGUAGAGGAUGAUUCGGCGAGGGCUCCCGCCUAAGUCCCCUGGAACGGGGCGUCAUAGAGGGUGAGAAUCCCGUAUGCGGUGGGCUGCCUUAGCCAUGUGAAUCUCCUUCGACGAGUCGAGUUGUUUGGGAAUGCAGCUCUAAAUGGGAGGUAAAUUUCUUCUAAAGCUAAAUACCGGCCAGAGACCGAUAGCGCACAAGUAGAGUGAUCGAAAGAUGAAAAGCACUUUGGAAAGAGAGUUAAAAAGUACGUGAAAUUGUUGAAAGGGAAGCGCUUGCAGCCAGACUUGUCCGCAGUUGCUCAGCCGGUCUCCUGACCGGCGCACUCUUCUGCGGCCAGGCCAGCAUCAGUUCGGGCGGUCGGAUAAAGGCCCCGGGAACGUAGCUCCUCUCGGGGAGUGUUAUAGCCCGGGGUGGAAUGCGGCCAGCCUGGACUGAGGAUCUCGCUUCGGCUAGGAUGCUGGCGUAAUGGCUGUAAGCGGCCCGUCUUGAAACACGGACCAAGGAGUCUAACAUCUAUGCGAGUGUUUGGGUGUCAAACCCAUGCGCGUAAUGAAAGUGAACGGAGGUGGGAACCCUCGCGGGUGCACCAUCGACCGAUCCUGAUGUCUUCGGAUGGAUUUGAGUAAGAGCAUAGCUGUUGGGACCCGAAAGAUGGUGAACUAUGCCUGAAUAGGGUGAAGCCAGAGGAAACUCUGGUGGAGGCUCGCAGCGGUUCUGACGUGCAAAUCGAUCGUCAAAUUUGGGUAUAGGGGCGAAAGACUAAUCGAACCAUCGACUACUAGGUGGUUAAGAGGUGGCUGAAAGUGCCCACCUAGUCCCCCCGUCCGAGGACGGGGGGGCGACAUCGCCAAAUUGCGGGGACUCCCUUAGAGCCUCUACUACCGCGGCCGGCCGAAAGGCGCGGUGCAGCACCGGGUUAAUUGCCUAGGGUACGGUAAAAAGGUAGAGGAUUGGGAAAUCCGCAGCCAAGCGCCUAAGUCCCGCGGGAUACGGCGAAGGUUCAGAGACUAGAUGGCGGUGGGUCCGGCCCGAGGGCCGGGCCUAAGGUAUAGUCC
rnacentral:sRNA from 1 species